CAGCCGCCACGGUAAUACGAAGGGGGCUAGCGUUGCUCGGAAUUACUGGGCGUAAAGGGCGCGUAGGCGGACAGUUAAGUCAGAGGUGAAAGCCCAGGGCUCAACCUUGGAACUGUCUUUGAUACUGGCUGUCUAGAGUGCGGGAGAGGUGUGUGGAACUCCGAGUGUAGAGGUGAAAUUCGUAGAUAUUCGGAAGAACACCAGUGGCGAAGGCGACACACUGGCCCGUAACUGACGCUGAGGCGCGAAAGCGUGGGGAGCAAACAGGAUUAGAGACCCGCGUAGUCCCUGUCUCUUAUAC
rnacentral:rRNA from 1 species